rnacentral:rRNA from 1 species
CCCUUCGGGGUGUGACUGCGUACCUUUUGUAUAAUGGGUCAGCGACUUAUAUUCUGUAGCAAGGUUAACCGAAUAGGGGAGCCGGAGGGAAACCGAGUCUUAAUUGGGCGUUAAGUUGCAGGGUAUAGACCCGAAACCCGGUGAUCUAGCCAUGGGCAGGUUGAAGGUUGGGUAACACUAACUGGAGGACCGAACCGACUAAUGUUGAAAAAUUAGCGGAUGACCUGUGGCUGGGGGUGAAAGGCCAAUCAAACCGGGAGAUAGCUGGUUCUCCCCGAAAGCUAUUUAGGUAGCGCCUCGUGAAUUCAUCUCCGGGGGUAGAGCACUGUUUCGGCUAGGGGGCCAUCCCGGCUUACCAACCCGAUGCAAACUGCGAAUACCGGAGAAUGUUAUCACGGGAGACACACGGCGGGUGCUAACGUCCGUCGUGAAGAGGGAAACAACCCAGACCGCCAGCUAAGGUCCCAAAGUCAUGGUUAAGUGGGAAACGAUGUGGGAAGGCCCAGACAGCCAGGAUGUUGGCUUAGAAGCAGCCAUCAUUUAAAGAAAGCGUAAUAGCUCACUGGUCGAGUCGGCCUGCGCGGAAGAUGUAACGGGGCUAAACCAUGCACCGAAGCUGCGGCAGCGACACUCAGGUGUUGUUGGGUAGGGGAGCGUUCUGUAAGCCUGUGAAGGUGGCCUGUGAGGGUUGCUGGAGGUAUCAGAAGUGCGAAUGCUGACAUAAGUAACGAUAAAGCGGGUGAAAAGCCCGCUCGCCGGAAGACCAAGGGUUCCUGUCCAACGUUAAUCGGGGCAGGGUGAGUCGACCCCUAAGGCGAGGCCGAAAGGCGUAGUCGAUGGGAAACGGGUUAAUAUUCCCGUACUUGGUGUUACUGCGAAGGGGGGACGGAGAAGGCUAUGUUGGCCGGGCGACGGUUGUCCCGGUUUAAGCGUGUAGGUGUGUGUUCCAGGUAAAUCCGGUUCACUUUAACACUGAGGCGUGACGACGAGGCACUACGGUGCUGAAGCAACAAAUGCCCUGCUUCCAGGAAAAGCCUCUAAGCAUCAGGUAACAUCAAAUCGUACCCCAAACCGACACAGGUGGUCAGGUAGAGAAUACCAAGGCGCUUGAGAGAACUCGGGUGAAGGAACUAGGCAAAAUGGUGCCGUAACUUCGGGAGAAGGCACGCUGACACGUAGGUGAAGUGAUUUACUCAUGGAGCUGAAGUCAGUCGAAGAUACCAGCUGGCUGCAACUGUUUAUUAAAAACACAGCACUGUGCAAACACGAAAGUGGACGUAUACGGUGUGACGCCUGCCCGGUGCCGGAAGGUUAAUUGAUGGGGUCAGCGCAAGCGAAGCUCCUGAUCGAAGCCCCGGUAAACGGCGGCCGUAACUAUAACGGUCCUAAGGUAGCGAAAUUCCUUGUCGGGUAAGUUCCGACCUGCACGAAUGGCGUAAUGAUGGCCAGGCUGUCUCCACCCGAGACUCAGUGAAAUUGAACUCGCUGUGAAGAUGCAGUGUACCCGCGGCAAGACGGAAAGACCCCGUGAACCUUUACUAUAGCUUGACACUGAACAUUGAGCCUUGAUGUGUAG